rnacentral:ncRNA from 2 species
AGAAUACAUUAUUGAAUAGGUGCCCGCAAGGGAUAAUAGGGAACCAGGUUAAUAAUCCUGGACGGACCCACCACUGUAAGUAGAUGUUGAAAAUGUACAUUUGCCACUGGGUAACUGGGAAGGCGUACAUUCUAGUCUAUAAGUCAGGAAACCUGCCUAUGAAAUAUUGCAAAA